GAGGGUAUAGCUCAGUGGUAGAGCGUGUGCUUAGCAUGCAUGAGGUCCUGGGUUCAAUUCCCAGUGCCUCCA
rnacentral:tRNA from 1 species